UGAUAGUGGCGGAUAAAAUGA
ensembl:piRNA 21ur-7758 ncRNA